GCUGUUGCUCAGAGGUAAGAGGAUCUGCUUUGCAUACAGAAGGUCCCAGGUUCAAUCUCUGACAUCUCCA